rnacentral:tRNA from 1 species
GUCGAAAUUGCCUAAUGGUUAAGGUGUCGCGCUUCCACCGAGGGGACCUGGGUUCGAAACCUAGCUCCCGCA